UUUGCCGGGGAGGCAAACAGGGAAUGGGUGGGAUUGAGGCUGGAGCUGGCUCGGAGGUCAAGGAAAGCUGACUGAAAACCCAAGUGUGGGAUGUGCCUCGUUUCUGCCUCCUGCUCUGCCCUUUUUACCUUCAAAAUAGGGGUGAAACAACUGCCCCGUGCCCCUCUCUGUGGGGACACCUCUUCUGGGAGCAUUGGCCAGAUUUAACCCACGUAUUUUUAUUUUUAGUUUUUACUGAAGCGUGUUUCGUCUGGGACUUUUUGCCGAGCAAAACAAAUGUAAAUUAAUUAAGGGGGAAAAAAACCCAACCAAACAAACUAAAAGAACAAACAACAACCAAAAAAACACCCCCCAAAAAAAUCCCAAAACAGAAAAAAUAUAACCAAAAACAGCCGUCGAAAAGAAACUUCAGCUUUGUGGGGAAAUUCUCAAAAUUCAAUGCAACCUCCGCCCGCCGCCGAAACUGGACGUAUGAGCAGAGGGUUUUCAACUGGAGAGGGAAAACAGGAAAACGAGAGGUGUGUGGCACACUCCGGGGUCACCCAGAGCACUCCAGUUUCACGUGGAUUCAAUUACGGCAGCGUUAUGAAGGAAUGCGACAUGUCAUGCAUUAAAAUGUCAAUUACCACUUUUUUAUGGGAUGCAGGGGGGAAGAAAAGAAAAUCAACCCAUCAGAUUUUUCCAGCAUCACUUCUGUCUGCUUGGGUGCUGUAAGCAGCCAGAGGAGUUUGGGUUUGUCCCCUACCUCAUCUGUGCAACCAGGAGAGACAGAGAAAUGUCUUUAAAACCAUUUUAUUAAAUUCCUUUUGUGGCUUGGAUGGAUCAUUUGGUGUUAUGGGUGGUACAGAACCAUGGUUGGGGUUGGAAGGGACGUUCAAAGGUCAUCAGUGUUGGAGUCUGAGACACAGAGUGUGUGUCCUUGUCUCUGAGAUCCAGAAAAACACUGAAUUUCAUACAAUAUGAAA
rnacentral:lncRNA from 1 species